UUGACUGAGUGGCGGACGGGUGAGUAACGCGUGGGUAACCUGCCUCACACAGGGGGAUAACAGUUGGAAACGACCGCUAAUACCGCAUAACCCGCUGGUACCGCAUGGUACUGACGGAAAAGAUUUAUCGGUGUGAGAUGGACCCGCGUCUGAUUAGCCAGUUGGCAGGGUAACGGCCUACCAAAGCGACGAUCAGUAGCCGGCCUGAGAGGGUGAACGGCCACAUUGGGACUGAGACACGGCCCAAACUCCUACGGAAGGCAGCAG
rnacentral:rRNA from 1 species